rnacentral:rRNA from 1 species
UACGUAGGGGGCAAGCGUUAUCCGGAUUUACUGGGUGUAAAGGGAGCGUAGACGGCUGUACAAGUCUGAAGUGAAAGCCCGUGGCUCAACCGCGGAACUGCUUUGGAAACUGUAAAGCUGGAGUACUGGAGAGGCAGGCGGAAUUCCUAGUGUAGCGGUGAAAUGCGUAGAUAUUAGGAGGAACACCAGUGGCGAAGGCGGCCUGCUGGACAGAAACUGACGUUGAGGCUCGAAAGCGUGGGGAGCAAACAGG